UCUCUCGUAGCUUAAUGGUCACAGAAUUGGUGUGUUAAGUCAAAGGUAAAGGUCCCGGGUUCGAUUCCCGGCGGGGGUA
rnacentral:tRNA from 1 species